rnacentral:rRNA from 1 species
UACAGAGGGUGCGAGCGUUAAUCGGAAUUACUGGGCGUAAAGCGCGCGUAGGCGGCUUUGCAAGUCGGGUGUGAAAUCCCCAGGCUUAACCUGGGAACUGCAUUCGAGACUGCAUUGCUAGAGUAUGGGAGAGGGAAGUGGAAUUUCCGGUGUAGCGGUGAAAUGCGUAGAUAUCGGGAGGAACACCGGUGGCGAAGGCGGUUCUCUGGGCCUUACCUGACGCUGAGGAGCGAAAGCGUGGGGAGCGAGCAGG